UAAUAAACGUUACCUCUUAAACAUUUGAAACGUUUAGACAACGUUGUAUGUUGUUGACCAUCACGUUUUCUAAACGUUUAUUCAACCUUUAGUUUGGUACUGACGUUUACGUUUAAUAAACAUUUAUUUAAACGUUGUAUUCAACAUUUUGAUAAACGUUAUAUCAACGUUUAGACAAAAAUUAUAGUCAACUUUCAAUAAACGUUAUAUCAACGUUUUGAUAAACAUUAAGUCAACAUUUCAAUAAACGUUAUAUCAACGUUUAGACAAACAUUAUAGUCAACUUUCAAUAAACGUUAUAUCAACGUUUUGAUAAACAUUAUAGUCAACAUUUUAAUAAACGUUAUAUCAACGUUUUAAUAAACAUUCAUAAUCAACCUUUCGUUGAGCAUUUAAUUCUUAGGAGAAGGUGUGAUGCAAAGCAGCACGGCAUUUUGCAUCCUUAAGGGACUUCUUCCGUAUUCGUUUGAAUGGAAGUAUGCGUUCGCGGUGAGGAGCGGUGCAAAUGAGAAGAAAUCCAAAAGAAGAGUACCAUCUUCUUCCAUCGCCGUGCUGCAUUGCGCCUCCUCCUACUUCCAGAAUAAAGAUACAAACUACCUCUGAGAAUUCCAACGAACCUGCAAUCGUAUCUUAUACUUAUAGUACUAAUAACAUUCUUAUAUCACUGACUCACUCACUCACCAAUAUAGCAAUUUCUGGAAAACUAUAAAAUUUGAAGACAUCCCAAAACGUGCUAAGGUUCAAUAUUCAAAGUUGUCAAACGUGUGGCGGAGACCUCACCUAUGUGCAGCGCUUGAUCUGUACAAACAUUCAGCCAAUCAUAACACCAAACUGAUGGAAAGAAGUACAGAUGCCCUCUUCAGUGUCUCUACCCUCAGGUCUCUGCCACACGUUCAAUAAGUAUGAAUUGUACAGGGAAAAAAAUGUUCAAGUUGUACCGUAUCAAAUAUAGAUUUUGAACAUAACGGCUACCUUAAUAGCACACUUCGACAUAGGCAACUCGCUAAAAAAAUGAAAUAUACAGAAAUACUCAGGAAUAAGUUAUUCAUUUAUUAUUCAUUUAGUUUGGAACAAAAUCAGUUUGAAUUUCCUUUUUUUUCUCUGGCCUGGAAUCUUGCUUUUGCGUAUUUCAGCCACGUUUUUAUGACAUCUUCAAUUUCUGCAUCCGACGCAGACGAUGUUCUUGAAUUACGUCUUACUCCAC